GGGAUGAGUCCAUGUGAACAGUGUAAGAGGUGAUGAGUCCAGGUGAACAGUGUAAGAGGUGAUGAGUCCAUGUGAUGAGUCCAUGUGAACAGUAAGAGGUGAUGAGUCCAUGUGAACAGUGUAAGAGGUGAUGAGUCCAUGUGAACAGUGUAAGAGGUGAUGAGUCCAUGUGAACAGUGUAAGAGGUGAUGAGUCCAUGUGAACAGUGUAAGAGGUGAUGAGUCCAUGUGAACAGUGUAAGAGGUGAUGAGUCCAUGUGAUGAGUCCCUGUGAACAGUAAGAGGGGAUGAGUCCAUGUGAACAGUAAGAGGUGAUGAGUCCAUGUGAUGAGUCCAUGUGAACAGUAAGAGGUGAUGAGUCCAUGUGAUGAGUCCAUGUGAACAGUAAGAGGUGAUGAGUCCAUGUGAUGAGUCCAUGUGAACAGUGUAAGAGGUGAUGAGUCCAUGUGAACAGUGUAAGAGGUGAUGCGUCCAUGUGAUGAGUCCAUGUGAACAGUUAGAGGUGAUGAGUCCAUGUGAACAGUGUA
ensembl:lncRNA